AUUGAACGCUGGCGGCAGGCCUAACACAUGCAAGUCGAACGGUAGCACAGAGAGCUUGCUCUCGGGUGACGAGUGGCGGACGGGUGAGUAAUGUCUGGGAAACUGCCUGAUGGAGGGGGAUAACUACUGGAAACGGUAGCUAAUACCGCAUAACGUCGCAAGACCAAAGAGGGGGACCUUCGGGCCUCUUGCCAUCAGAUGUGCCCAGAUGGGAUUAGCUAGUAGGUGGGGUAACGGCUCACCUAGGCGACGAUCCCUAGCUGGUCUGAGAGGAUGACCAGCCACACUGGAACUGAGACACGGUCCAGACUCCUACGGGAGGCAGCAGUGGGGAAUAUUGCACAAUGGGCGCAAGCCUGAUGCAGCCAUGCCGCGUGUAUGAAGAAGGCCUUCGGGUUGUAAAGUACUUUCAGCGGGGAGGAAGGUGUUGUGGUUAAUAACCACAGCAAUUGGCGU
rnacentral:rRNA from 1 species